GUCUGCUUGCUGUGCCUGUGACAUCACUUCCCCCUUCUUGUAGAAGAUAGUUUUUGCUAGACACAUGACCACACAGAGAUCGGAUACACUCCGGAUGAGGCGCUGGCCACUGCAGUUUAGGCAGACGUGGCGUUGGAACACAGGUCCAAGAAUGGAGUCAUGUGAGAAUUCUGAGUGCUUGUGAGAAAACUCCAAGAAUACAAGAUAAGAGUCUUGUGACCGACCUCAGUUUCUUCAAAACACAGAAUUUUUCAUGGAAUGUGGGUUUGUGCUCUUCCCAGGUGUAGCAGAUAAGAGCGAGUUUACGUAAGCUUCUAUUCAUAUGCCUCUAGUGCAAAAACCUGUUUUGCCACGUGUGGCUUGUCCUCGUGAUUGUAUACUGUACUUGGGUGACUCUUCCUAGCCCUCAGAGCAUAAGUUGUCGGAUGCUCUGAAUAAAGUUGACUACUGCAGGA